rnacentral:rRNA from 1 species
UGCAGUCGAACGAUGAAGCACCAGCUUGCUGGUGUGGAUUAGUGGCGAACGGGUGAGUAACACGUGAGCAACCUGCCCCGGACUUUGGGAUAAGCGCUGGAAACGGCGUCUAAUACCGAAUAUGCACCAUGAAGGCAUCUUCAAUGGUGGGAAAGAUUUAUCGGUCCGGGAGGGGCUCGCGGCCUAUCAGCUUGUUGGUGAGGUAAUGGCUCACCAAGGCGUCGACGGGUAGCCGGCCUGAGAGGGUGACCGGCCACACUGGGACUGAGACACGGCCCAGACUCCUACGGGAGGCAGCAGUGGGGAAUAUUGCACAAUGGGCGCAAGCCUGAUGCAGCAACGCCGCGUGGGGGAUGACGGCCUUCGGGUUGUAAACCCCUUUUAGUAGGGAAGAAGCCUUCGGGUGACGGUACCUGCAGAAAAAGCGCCGGCUAACUACGUGCCAGCAGCCGCGGUAAUACGUAGGGCGCAAGCGUUAUCCGGAAUUAUUGGGCGUAAAGAGCUCGUAGGCGGCUUGUCGCGUCUGCUGUGAAAACUGGAGGCUCAACUUCCAGCGUGCAGUGGGUACGGGCAGGCUAGAGUGCGGUAGGGGAGAUUGGAAUUCCUGGUGUAGCGGUGGAAUGCGCAGAUAUCACGAGGAACACCGAUGGCGAAGGCAGAUCU